GGUUGAUCCUGCCAGUAGUCAUAUGCUUGUCUCAAAGAUUAAGCCAUGCAUGUCUAAGUAUAAACACCUUUAUACUGUGAAACUGCAGAUGGCUCAUUAAAUCAGAAAUAAUUUAUUUGAUGGUGACCUACUACAUGGAUAACCGUAGUAAUUCUAGAGCUAAUACAUGCGUAUAAGUGCAGCCUCCGGGCUGUCACUGUAUUUAUUAGAUAAAAAACCAAACCCUUCGGGGCUUUGUGCUGAAUCAUAAUAACUGUUCGAAUCGCACGCUUACGCUGGCGAUAGUUCAUUCAAAUUUCUGCCCUAUCAGCUAUUGACGGUAGUGUAGUGGACUACCGUGGCAUUAACGGGUAACGAAGAAUUAGGGCUCGAUUCCGGAGAGGGAGCCUGAGAAACGGCUACCACAUCCAAGGAAGGCAGCAGGCGCGCAAAUUACCCAAUCCCGACACGGGGAGGUAGUGACAAGAAAUAGCGAUUCCGGGUCUUUAUAGGUCUGGUUAUUGCAAUGGACGUAUUGUAAAUGCCUACGUGAGUAUCCAUUGGAGGGCAAGUCUGGU
rnacentral:rRNA from 1 species